GAUGAACGCUGGCGGCGUGCCUAAUACAUGCAAGUCGAGCGAACGGACGAGAAGCUUGCUUUUCUGAUGUUAGCGGCGGACGGGUGAGUAACACGUGGAUAACCUACCUAUAAGACUGGGAUAACUUCGGGAAACCGGAGCUAAUACCGGAUAAUAUUUUGAACCGCAUUGUUCAAAAGUGAAAGACGGUCUUGCUGUCACUUAUAGAUGGAUCCGCGCUGCAUUAGCUAGUUGGUAAGGUAACGGCUUACCAAGGCAACGAUGCAUAGCCGACCUGAGAGGGUGAGCGGCCACACUGGAACUGAGACACGGUCCAGACUCCUACGGGAGGCAGCAGUAGGGAAUCUUACGCAAUGGGCGAAAGCCUGACGGAGCAACGCCGCGUGAGUGAUGAAGGUCUUCGGAUCGUAAAACUCUGUUAUUAGGGAAGAACAUAUGUGUAAGUAAAUGUGCACAUCUUGACGGUACCUAAUCAGAAAGCCACGGCUAACUACGUG
rnacentral:rRNA from 1 species